CCUACGGGAGGCAGCAGUGAGGAAUAUUGGUCAAUGGACGAGAGUCUGAACCAGCCAAGUCGCGUGAAGGAUGACUGCCCUAUGGGUUGUAAACUUCUUUUAUAUGGGAAUAAAAUGUUCCACGUGUGGGAUUUUGUAUGUACCAUAUGAAUAAGGAUCGACUAACUCCGUGCCAGCAGCCGCGGUAAUACGGAGGAUCCGAGCGUUAUCCGGAUUUAUUGGGUUUAAAGGGAGCGUAGGUGGAUUGUUAAGUCAGUUGUGAAAGUUUGCGGCUCAACCGUAAAAUUGCAGUUGAAACUGGCAGUCUUGAGUACAGUAGAGGUGGGCGGAAUUCGUGGUGUAGCGGUGAAAUGCUUAGAUAUCACGAAGAACUCCGAUUGCGAAGGCAGCUUACUGGACUGCAACUGACACUGAGGCUCGAAAGUGUGGGUAUCAAACAGGAUUAGAUACCCUAGUAGUC
rnacentral:rRNA from 1 species